rnacentral:rRNA from 1 species
GAUCCUGGCUCAGAUUGAACGCUGGCGGCAGGCUUAACACAUGCAAGUCGAACGGUAACAGGAGAGAGCUUGCUUUCUUGCUGACGAGCGGCGGACGGGUGAGUAAUGCUUGGGAAUCUGGCUUAUGGAGGGGGAUAACGACGGGAAACUGUCGCUAAUACCGCGUAGAGUCGAGAGACGAAAGUGCGGGACCGCAAGGCCGCAUGCCAUAGGAUGAGCCCAAGUGGGGAUUAGGUAGUUGGG